CAAGAAAAACGGGAAAGGCGAAGGGAAAGGAGAGAAAAGAAGAAGAAAGAAAACCAAGAGAGAAGGAAAGAAUAAGAGGAAAAGAAAGGGAAAAACGGAAGUUCUGAACUUCAUUUGCAUGGAGAAUCAACCAAAUUUUGGGUAGAAAAUGAGAGGUUAUGGUGAGAGAUUGUAAGUUUUAGAGAGAGAAACAAAUAGUUUUGGUUAGAGAGAGAGUAGAUUUCAAGCAAAAAUUUUAAUUUUAACAUUUUUUUUAGAUCAUGUAGAUAUUUAUGAGCAUUCUUAAUUCUUGGAUCAUUCUCAGAUAAGUAGAACUUGGGUGCGACAACAGCCUUCUACCAUGGCUUCUACUUCUUCUACUCCUCCGAUCAGUUGAAGAAAUGGGAUGCUUUCAUUAGUUUUAGAGGCAAAGAUAUCCAUCGCCUUUUUCCCUCCUUUAUCUUGACAGCUUUGUCGGGAAAACAAAUCAAUGCCUUCUUGGAUAAAAACCUUGAAAAAGGAGAAGAGAUCCCACGUUCUCUACUGGAAACAAUUGAAGAUUCAUACGUUUCAGUAGUGGUUUUCUCUAAAAAUUAUGCAGAUUCCCCAUGUCACUUGGAUGAGCUUGUGAAGAUAUUUCAAUGCAUUAAAACAUCUGGACAAAUAGUCGUUCCAUUAUUUUAUCGUGUAGAUCCGACUGAUGUUCAAGAGCUAAGAGGGAAUUUUGGAGAGGCAUUUAGUAAGCAUAAAAAAGAAGAAAAAAUUUUGGAAGGAUGGCGGCGUGCCUUGAUGGAAAUAAGCAACUUAGCAGGAUGAGACUCACGCAACAUCAGACUUGACAACUGCAUGGACAAUUGCAGCUUCCUGGAGGCCUUGAAUUUCUACCAGAAGAGCUAAGAUAUCUUUAUUGGGAUAGAUACCCUUUGAAUUAUUUGCCAUUGAAGUGUUGCACAAAAUAUCUUGUGGAACUCCACAUGCCCAGGAGCAACCUCACAGAUCUUUGGAAUGGAGAUGAGGCAAGAGUAAUUGUGCUGCUAUAUAAAAUUUAGUUACAUUUUGUGAAGUUAAUUAGCAUCUGCUAAUUUUAUUGAUAUUUUCAUCGCAGGCUCUUGGAAAUUUGAAACUUUUAAACCUCAGCAACUCUUUGGAGCUGACCAGAGUUCCAGACUUGUCUAGAUUCCCAAAUCUUGAGGUUUUACGUUUGAGCGAAUGCAGAAGCUUGAUUGAGAUUCCUAGCAGCAUUGGCGAGUUAAAAUGUCUAAAAGAAAUUAAUCUAAUGAGAUGCUCAAAACUGCAUAGUAUUCCCCAAAGCAUCUGCAAUCUGAAAUCUCUUACACUCCUUAGGAUGUCAGAUUGUUUGAAUGUCACUGAAUUGCCAGAGAACAUAGGGGAUUUAGAAUUUCUAGAGACCCUUGAUAUACUUGACAGUGGAAUAAAGGUAAUACCGUCCUCCAUCAAUCAAUUGGAAAAUUUGGUUUCCUUAAAGUGUGAAGGCUGCAAAGGUUUGACAUUGCCUCCUUUGACAGGUUUAUCCUGUUUACAGGAUAUGGAAUUAGGUAACCGUGGUAUAUUAGAUAUUCCCGGCAGUCUUGGGCUUUUAGUCUCAUUGAGAUCCUUAAGUUUAAUUGAAAACAAUUUUGAGAGCAUACCUGCAAGCAUUAAACAACUAAGUUUAAACUGCUUUACUUAUCUGGUUGCAAGAGACUCAAAUGUUUACCAGAGCUUCCAUCAUGCUUAGAAGAUUUGUCUUUACGGAAUUGCACAUCUCUGGAAUCUGUAUCUUCUUUCCUUUUCGCAGAACACGAAGAAGAAGAUCGAAUUGAAAUUUUUCUUGACUUUAGUAAUUGCAUCAGUUUGGAUAAGGAGAAAGUGAUGGAGGAUGUAUUGGAAACGCAUCUGUUGAAACACAAGAUUGUUCGUUUGUGUGUUCACGGGGAUGAAGUGCCUCAAAGGAUGAGAUAUAAGAAACAGAGUGGAUCUUCUCUUUCAUUCACACUAGAUCAGCCUAACUUGAUUGGUGUUUCUUUAUGCCUUGUUUUUUAUCCCAAAAAUCAUUAUGGUUAUCAUGUUAGGUUUAUUUGCGAAGCCCAAUUCAUUGAUAAAUCUGGACACAACAGUAAAAAUUCCAAGUUCAGUUUCCAGUAUACUUGGAUGACUAAUCUGUUAGAAUCAGAACAUGUGUACCUUUGGAAUGAAUUGUUCGACAUGGAAGACAGUUUCGUUGAGGCCUCAUUUCAGUUCUUCAUUGAACGUUUUUCACUCAAGCCACAACAUAAUUUCGAGGCUAUAAUUAAGUGUGGGGUACUUCCUAUAUUUCGAGACGACUGUCUGCAGAGAUAAAAGGAGUAGCAGAAAUCAAGAAGAUGAGGAAGAAGAACCUUCUCCCCUAAAAUUGAAACGAGACCAAACACCUUACAACAGAUUUCGCGCUUGGAGGCUUUUGUGUGCGACUUUUCUGCAGAAUUUGAUGCAGCUCUCAGCUUUCUAAACCUUUGGCUUUUGUUCUGUAGAAUUUGUUCCAUUAUAAAAGGUUGUCCCAAAGACAGUAUAAAUAUAAGCCGAGUUGAAAUUAUAUCAUCCGUCAGAAGUGUUAUCUAUUUGGUGUAUAUAUUGAGUGUAUUCGAUAAUUUAUUCAGCUGUGCUUAUA